GACGAACGCUGGCGGCGUGCUUAACACAUGCAAGUCGAACGGAAAGGCCCUGCUUUUGUGGGGUGCUCGAGUGGCGAACGGGGGAGUAACACGUGAGUAACCUGCCCUUGACUUUGGGAUAACUUCAGGAAACUGGGGCUAAUACCGGAUAGGAGCUCCCGCUGCAUGGUGGGGGUUGGAAAGUUUCGGCGGUUGGGGAUGGACUCGCGGCUUAUCAGCUUGUUGGUGGGGUAGUGGCUUACCAAGGCUUUGACGGGUAGCCGGCCUGAGAGGGUGACCGGCCACAUUGGGACUGAGAUACGGCCCAGACUCCUACGGGAGGCAGCAGUGGGGAAUAUUGCACAAUGGGCGGAAGCCUGAUGCAGCAACGCCGCGUGCGGGAUGACGGCCUUCGGGUUGUAAACCGCUUUCGCCUGUGACGAAGCGUGAGUGACGGUAAUGGGUAAAGAAGCACCGGCUAACUACGUG
rnacentral:rRNA from 1 species